rnacentral:rRNA from 1 species
UACGGAGGGUGCAAGCGUUGUUCGGAAUCAUUGGGCGUAAAGCGCGUGUAGGCGGCUUUUUAAGUUUGGUGUGAAAGCCCGGGGCUUAACCCCGGAAGUGCACUGAAUACUGAUUAGCUAGAGGGUGAGAGAGGAUAGUGGAAUUCCUGGUGUAGGGGUGAAAUCCGUAGAUAUCAGGAGGAACAUCUGUGGCGAAGGCGGCUAUCUGGCUCACUUCUGACGCUGAGGCACGAAAGCGUGGGGAGCAAACAGG